rnacentral:rRNA from 1 species
CUAAGGGGACUGCCCCCGGACAACGGGGGAGGAAAGGUGGGGAUGACGUCAAGUCCGCAUGCUCCUUACGUCUAGGGCUACACACGUCCUACAAUGGGGUCGACAGUGGGAUGCAAAGCCGCGAGGUGGAGCCAAUCCCCAAACGGCCUCUCAGUUCGGAUAGUAGUCUGCAACUCGACUACUUGAAGUCGGAAUCGCUAGUAAUGGCGGAUCAGCAUGCCGCCGUGAAUACGUUCCCGGGUCUU